rnacentral:rRNA from 1 species
UUUAUGGAGAGUUUGAUCCUGGCUCAGGAUGAACGCUGGCGGCGUGCCUAAUACAUGCAAGUCGAGCGAACGGACGAGAAGCUUGCUUCUCUGAUGUUAGCGGCGGACGGGUGAGUAACACGUGGAUAACCUACCUAUAAGACUGGGAUAACUUCGGGAAACCGGAGCUAAUACCGGAUAAUAUUUUGAACCGCAUGGUUCAAAAGUGAAAGACGGUCUUGCUGUCACUUAUAGAUGGAUCCGCGCUGCAUUAGCUAGUUGGUAAGGUAACGGCUUACCAAGGCAACGAUGCAUAGCCGACCUGAGAGGGUGAUCGGCCACACUGGAACUGAGACACGGUCCAGACUCCUACGGGAGGCAGCAGUAGGGAAUCUUCCGCAAUGGGCGAAAGCCUGACGGAGCAACGCCGCGUGAGUGAUGAAGGUCUUCGGAUCGUAAAACUCUGUUAUUAGGGAAGAACAUAUGUGUAAGUAACUGUGCACAUCUUGACGGUACCUAAUCAGAAAGCCACGGCUAACUACGUGCCAGCAGCCGCGGUAAUACGUAGGUGGCAAGCGUUAUCCGGAAUUAUUGGGCGUAAAGCGCGCGUAGGCGGUUUUUUAAGUCUGAUGUGAAAGCCCACGGCUCAACCGUGGAGGGUCAUUGGAAACUGGAAAACUUGAGUGCAGAAGAGGAAAGUGGAAUUCCAUGUGUAGCGGUGAAAUGCGCAGAGAUAUGGAGGAACACCAGUGGCGAAGGCGACUUUCUGGUCUGUAACUGACGCUGAUGUGCGAAAGCGUGGGGAUCAAACAGGAUUAGAUACCCUGGUAGUCCACGCCGUAAACGAUGAGUGCUAAGUGUUAGGGGGUUUCCGCCCCUUAGUGCUGCAGCUAACGCAUUAAGCACUCCGCCUGGGGAGUACGACCGCAAGGUUGAAACUCAAAGGAAUUGACGGGGACCCGCACAAGCGGUGGAGCAUGUGGUUUAAUUCGAAGCAACGCGAAGAACCUUACCAAAUCUUGACAUCCUUUGACAACUCUAGAGAUAGAGCUUUCCCCUUCGGGGGACAAAGUGACAGGUGGUGCAUGGUUGUCGUCAGCUCGUGUCGUGAGAUGUUGGGUUAAGUCCCGCAACGAGCGCAACCCUUAAGCUUAGUUGCCAUCAUUAAGUUGGGCACUCUAAGUUGACUGCCGGUGACAAACCGGAGGAAGGUGGGGAUGACGUCAAAUCAUCAUGCCCCUUAUGAUUUGGGCUACACACGUGCUACAAUGGACAAUACAAAGGGCAGCGAAACCGCGAGGUCAAGCAAAUCCCAUAAAGUUGUUCUCAGUUCGGAUUGUAGUCUGCAACUCGACUACAUGAAGCUGGA